CGCCGGAAGGGUGUGGGUGCGGUGUGCGCCGGGAUGUCUUGUCUUUUGUCAGCGCCGCCGCUUAAAGUGGGCUGGGUGUAUUUGCCCCGCGGAAGAAAAAGAGAGGUGUUUCCCCUUGGUGCGAUGCAGCUGAAUGCACCGGGAAUCGUUCUGGCUUGCAUUUUGGAUGAAGCAGCUGCUUGAAAGUCUGGUGAGAGGAGGCAGCUGUUUGAAAUACGCAUUCUGGUUAACGCGUUCAGGCCAAGCCCCGUAUGUGCAGUCGCAAGGGUGCUUCUCCCAGAGGAUUCCCCUGGGUAACUUCCCUUUGAAGCGCAGCCUCCCUGCUGAAUUCAGCACCUGCUACUGUCUCCACUUCGAAAAUGGAGGCAUGCUAGUGUUUCUGGGGUCGAAAGAAGGGUAUCCUGAGAAUACUGUGGUUCUCAGUCUCAGUCGUGGAGGUUAAAGGAGCCUGCUCGC